UUUCUCUCUACACAAAAACCAAACGCUCCUUCUUCACGUGUCUAUCUCUCGCUUUUUCUGUUUCCUUCGGCUUCUUUCUUCCUCCAUCAUCAUCAUUUUCUUCUUCCCCUCUUCCUAUUCAUUUCAUUCUUAAGCUCUGUUUAUUUCUAGGCCAGAACUUGCAACGUAUAUCAACCUCUCUUUUAUCUUUGACGGGUUGGUAUUGGUAUUUGAGUUCAGUGUAUUUACAAAUAUUCUUUGCAAGAGAAAUAGAGGUUUAAGGAAGGGUGAGAAAUGGAGGGAAAGCAGUUGGCCUCGUCUUCUUCCUUCACUUCUGAACUUUUUGGCUCCACCUCCAAGGAUUCUACAUCUUCAACUGGGAUUUUUGGCUCUAUAUUCGCACCUCCUUCUAAGGUGCUGGGGAGAGGUUUACUACGAUCUGAAGUCUUUGGAAAUAAACAAGAUUCUGCAAAUGAAGCUUGGAACACCAAACCUGGAGCUCCAGAUGACACUUCUAAAAGCAACAAGGGUGAAGGUCAGAACAUGCCAAGUAGAGAUGUAAGUUCCCUUUAUCAGGAACAAAGAGUACAACCAUGCCAUCUGAGUUCGUCAAUCUAUUAUGGUGGUCAAGACAUCUAUCAUCAUCCCCAGAAUAGCCAGAGCUCUAGUAUGACCUCAAUGUUCAACAAAGAUGGGGCAGAAGAUGACUCUGGAAGUGCUUCAAGAGGAAACUGGUGGCAGGGGUCUCUCUACUACUAAAAUGUCACCUGCCAUGACAUAUGAUCACCUAGGUAUUUAUUUCUUAAAAGACGCCUGGGAGUAGAUAUUUUUCAAAGGGGUUUGAGACUUCCUUUUUCUUUUUUAUAUAUGCCUAAGGUAAUAGAUAAAAUGGGGCAGCACCUCAGUUUACCUUUCUUUACGUGGAAGAUGUGAAGUAGCAGGCAGACCAUAGCAGAUGGGCGGUUUUCCUUCAUCUAAAUGUAUACUUGUAUGAAAAAUUAACAUGCCUGUAUUUUUUUUUUUUUUAACAUAAAAGAUGUUUGGUUUAGGAGCUUGUAAGGAUGGAUACAUUGCAUGCACUCCCUCUUCUCACCCUUAUCUUACCUAAAACUGUAAAUAUGAACAAGUUUAAAUUUUGGAUAGAUUUGUUCUGCCUCUAAAAUCCCCCUUUGCAGUGAACUUUGUGGUCACUCUGGAAACUGUAAGGUUGGUUCAAAGAAUCCGAAAUUGAAAGAUUUCCAA